rnacentral:rRNA from 1 species
UACGUAGGGGGCUAGCGUUGUCCGGAAUCAUUGGGCGUAAAGAGCGUGUAGGCGGUCCGGUAAGUCCGCUGUGAAAGUCGGGGGCUCAACCCUCGAAUGCCGGUGGAAACUGUCGGGCUGGAGUCCGGAAGAGGCGAGUGGAAUUCCUGGUGUAGCGGUGAAAUGCGCAGAUAUCAGGAGGAGCACCAAUGGCGAAGGCAGCUCGCUGGGACGGUACUGACGCUGAGACGCGAAAGCGUGGGGAGCAAACAGG